rnacentral:rRNA from 1 species
CCUACGGGUGGCACCAGUGAGGAAUUUUGCGCAAUGGGGGUAACCCUGACGCAGCAACGCCGCGUGAGUGAAGAAGGCUUUCGGGUCGUAAAGCUCUGUCGAGUGGGAAGAACCCGCAGCAGGUCAACAGGCUGCUGCGCUGACGGUACCACUUGAGGAAGCACCGGCUAACUCCGUGCCAGCAGCCGCGGUAAUACGGAGGGUGCAAGCGUUAUUCGGAAUUACUGGGCGUAAAGGGCGCGCAGGCGGCCAGAUAAGUCAGUAGUGAAAGCCCGGGGCUCAACCUCGGAAGUGCUGCUGAAACUGUUUGGCUUGAGUAUGGUAGAGGGAAGCGGAAUUCCUGGUGUAGCGGUGAAAUGCGUAGAUAUCAGGAGGAACACCGGUGGCGAAGGCGGCUUCCUGGCCCAAUACUGACGCUGAGGCGCGAAGGCGUGGGUAGCAAACAGGAUUAGAUACCCUUGUAGUC